ensembl:lncRNA
CUCACUGAUAAUUUCUGAAACAUGUCCUCAAAAAAUUUAGGACAAAAGUAAAACAGUACAGAUUAAGAAAACAAACUGAAAUAUUUUGAUAAAUUUUGUUCCUUGAGUGCAGUAAAAGUUGAUGGAUGGUUAAUGGUGGAAAUUCUACUGUGGUAAUAUUUGACAAGUGGCUCUAACUCAAAAAAAAAAAAACAUCUAUGAAAGGCAGAAGUUGGGAUGGAGGCCAAAUGAAGAAGAGGAAAUUUCAAUGUGUCAGUUCCUGUUGUAAAGCGAGAUUAAAAGAACACGUCAGACACACAAGCUCCUCAGUGGGGCAACAGCUGUGUGACAGUCCAGACAACACACAUGAAGACAGCAAGAUAGGAGGGCAGCCCAGAAAACUAGAGUUCCACUGCACACUUCACUGAGUUGGAGGUGGUGCACCAGACAGGAGAAUGAGUGUUCCUGCCUGCGUUUUGCUGCUCCUCAGUGUGACAGGAGCAGAGAUUAAUAAUACAACUGAUCAGUUAAGCAUUUCAACACCUUCUACAUCUGAAGGACAAACAUCAGCUCUACCCUCAACACAUCCUGCAUGUGAAUGUAACCAUACAAAAUCGACAAAUUCACCCAGCAGUACUCAUUUAAAUUCCACAAAAAUUCCUCAGCAGACACAUACUCUGCAAUGCGGCAAUCAACCGAAGACACAUACGCUACAAACUCUGCAAUCUACUGAAACUGAUGCGGCUAAAGGAACACAAAGGUGGAUCUUGCCUGCCGCCUUCAUGGUUGGAGCCCUUUCUUCUUCCAUCCUCUUCAGUGCAUUCUUCUUUGUGAUUUGCUUAAUCCAAAGAUUAAAACAACAGAAUUUGAAAGUUCAAGAUGAGGAGCAAAAUGAAAAUCUGAAGAUAAUAACAAAAAAUGAUGAACAGCUGCUCGAUGCAGAAGAGGUGAACCAGGAGGAGCAGGUACUUAAUGAGGAGCCACCCUUAGAUGAGAGCAGAGAGGCCCUGGCUGCAGCAGACAAACGGACCAGUGGCAUGGACACUGUGGCCAAAGAAGUGGACUAUGCCACCAUUGACUACUCCUUGCUGAAAGAGCGAGAAGAAGCUAAAGGUGUGGAGAAGAUCAGGGAGCCAGAGUAUGCUGAAAUCAAGCAGGAGGAGGUGAGAAAAGAGGUACAGAAGGAACCCCUGACAGCAGAGGAAAAGAAGCUGAAUGAAGAGAUCCAGGAGCUGGCUGGACAAGAAGUAGUGUAGCCUCAGAAAAUAGAGGCACAUGAAAAAAAGCAGACAGAAAAUAUGACAGUAAUUGUGUGCAGUUAUGAAAACUAUUUCUGCGGUGAAUGCAGUUUAUGAACCAGUGUAAAGUACACUCUUGACAUCACUGUGAGUAAUGUGAUGUUUUAGCAGACCAGGGGCAAAUUUAGUGAAGUCAUUAUAUAUAAAUCUAGUCUAAAUGGUGAAGUUCCUUUUUCUGUGGGCAUCCAAAAGUUUGUUCUAGAUGCAUUUUCACAGGGAAGAACAGCAAAGGAAAGAAAAAUUUGCAGAGUACUUGAAGAAAUGUAACACACAGUUCAUACUUACUUUUAGAGCGCUGCUAGUACACUCUUUGAAAGAUUGAAGUGAAAGAUGUCAGGCACGAUGGUGAAUGUCUCUGAAACUUACUGUGGUCCUCCACAAGAACGAGUGACUUUUUAGCAGGCUGCUACAAUCUUCAAAUGAAAUUAAGUUAAACAGCACCAAAUUCAUCCUUUUUUGUGAAGCUCAGGGGCAUUUAAAAUGGUUUCUUUCCAAACAUUUUGUGUUUCAUAAUAUUAGUGAAUCUUAGUAAAUAAGCAAUAUUAGUAAAAACAAGGUUAAAAAACAGAUAUGCUUCAGUUCUACAUGCAUGCAGUUUUGCAAAGUGCAGAAAGGAACUGAAAGUAGAGGACUGAAACUUCAGCAUUUUCACUGAGAAAUAUCAGUGCUUGGUGUCUACAGAUAACAGCAUUUUUUUAAAUUGGAAUUUAAAAGUUUUUAUUUUCAGUUAAUGGGGGGUGCGGUGGCGCAGUGGGUUGGACCAGAUCCCGCUGUCCAGUGGGUCUGGGGUUCAAGUCCUGCUUGGGGUGCCUUGUGAUGGACUGGCGUCCUGUCCUGGGUGUGUCCCCUCCCCCUCCAGCCUUGCGCCCUGUGGUGCUGGGUUAGGCUCAGGCUCUCCGCGACCCUGUUUGGGACAAGCGGUUCAGAAAAUGCGUGUGUGGGUAUGUGUGUAUUUUCAGUUAUUUAUUUAAUAACAGAGGGGGGCGUGGUAGCGCAGUGGGUUGGACCAGGUCCUGCUCUCCGGUGGGUCUGGGGUUCGAGUCCCGCUUGGGGUGCCUUGCGACGGACUGGCGUCCCGUCCUGGGUGUGUCCCCUCCCCCUCUGGCCUUAUGCCCUGUGUUGCCGGGUUAGGCUCCGGUUCCCCGCGACCCCGUAUGGGACGAGUGGUUCUGAAAAUGUGUGUGUGUAUUUAAUAACAAAAACAGAAUAAGGAGAUUAACUGUGUUGGAUGCUAAGUGUAGGGAAAUGGUGUGUUUUAAGAUAUUCUGCUUUAUUUCUACUAUUUAAGUUACUAUUCAUUCAACUGACUACUUCAUUGUUGAUAGGACUGAAACAAAUUAUUUGUUUCUGCACUGAAUUACUGAUGUCUAUAGACUGAGUCCCUGGCUGUAAAGAACUUUUUCAAGCGUUUUUUAGGUGGAAAAAAUAUUUUGGUAACCAUUUUAUAAGUGUUUAAUAGUUAAAUUCUCUCAAUAGAAAUCACACACACACUCACACACUCACACACACACACACACACACACACACACACACAUUUUCAGAACCGCUUGUCCCAUACGGGGUCACGGGGGAACCGGAGCCUACCCGGUAACACAGGGCGUAAGGCCGGAGGGGUAGGGGACACACCCAGGACGGGACGCCAGUCCGCCGCAAGGCACUCCAAGCGGGACUCGAGCCCCAGACCCACUGGAGAGCAGGACCCGGUCCAACCCACUGCGCCACCGUGCCCCCCUCCAAUCUCAAUUACCUUUCUACAAAUUAAAGAAUCUAAACAGGUAUAGUUGUGAGCUUUGCAGUUGAGUGGUUAAAAUCAUUGAAAUUAAAUGAUAUUAGAAAAUGCUGUUAAAAAAAUCUUGAACCAUUUGAUGGAAGUGGCUCAUUUUUACACUGUACAGGAAUUGAAUUCUGACAAUGUUAUCCUGAAAAGUAGUUGCACUGGAACAGUCAGAUUAAGCAAAUCUGAACAAUAAAGGUAAAGUACAAUUUUAUUAAUUCA